CAAGACAUAGCUAGUUAGUAAGUUUCUCUUUUACACGGAGGGUACGCUCGUGCAAUUCGGGCUGUUUUGA
rnacentral:tRNA from 1 species